UGGGGAAUAUUGGACAAUGGGGGCAACCCUGAUCCAGCGACGCCGCGUGGGUGAAGAAGGCCUGCGGGUUGUAAAGCCCUUUCGGUUGGGAAGAAAAGCUGCGACCUAACACGUUGCGGCCUUGACGUAACCAACUAAAGAAGCACCGGCUAACUCUGUGCCAGCAGCCGCGGUAAUACAGAGGGUGCGAGCGUUAAUCGGAAUUACUGGGCGUAAAGCGCGCGUAGGCGGCUUUUCAAGUCGAUUGUGAAAUCCCCGGGCUUAACCUGGGAACUGCAGUCGAGACUGUCUAGCUAGAGUAUGGGAGAGGGAAGUGGAAUUUCAGGUGUAGCGGUGAAAUGCGUAGAUAUCUGAAGGAACAUCAGUGGCGAAAGCGACUUCCUGGACCAAUACUGACGCUCAUGUGCGAAAGCGUGGGGAGCAAACAG
rnacentral:rRNA from 1 species